CACAAUGCACAUGAAAUUUUUGUAUAUCAUGUACCAAAGCACAAACCCCUAACAACCAUAGUAUAAGAUUUUCAGAAUCUGGAGAGGACUUAGCCAUAGCAUCGGAUUGGGUCAUUGCAGCCUUUCUCAGAAGAUUGCUUGAAACCAAAUCGGCCCCCUUUUUCAAGGUACUGCUGGUGGUAUUCCUCUGCUCGGUAGAAUUUCUUGGCAGGCAGAAUUUCAGUAACAAUCUUCCUGUUCAUUAGUUUCUGAUGUUGUUCCAAAGAUUCUCUUGCUGCCUUCUCUUGCUCUGGUGUGUAGAAGUAUAUUCCCGACCUAUACUGUGUUCCCACAUCGUUCCCC
rnacentral:lncRNA from 1 species